rnacentral:rRNA from 1 species
UACGAAGGGUGCAAGCGUUGCUCGGAAUUAUUGGGCGUAAAGGGUAGGUAGGUGGUUACGUAUGUCUGGGGUGAAAUCCCUGAGCUUAACUCAGGAAGUGCCUUGGAAACGGCGUAACUAGAGUACUAGAGAGGUUCGUGGAAUUCCCGGUGUAGCGGUGAAAUGCGUAGAGAUCGGGAGGAACAUCAGAGGCGAAGGCGGCGAACUGGAUAGUAACUGACACUGAACUAACGAAAGCGGUGGGUAGCAAACAGG